rnacentral:rRNA from 1 species
UACGUAGGGCGCAAGCGUUGUCCGGAAUUAUUGGGCGUAAAGAGCUCGUAGGCGGCUUGUCACGUCGGGUGUGAAAGACCGGGGCUUAACCCCGGUUCUGCAUUCGAUACGGGCUGGCUAGAGUGUGGUAGGGGAGAUCGGAAUUCCUGGUGUAGCGGUGAAAUGCGCAGAUAUCAGGAGGAACACCGAUGGCGAAGGCAGAUCUCUGGGCCGUAACUGACGCUGAGGAGCGAAAGCAUGGGGAGCGAACAGG